GAAAACAACCAGGUGGGCUUCCCGGAGGACGGAACACCCAGCCCGAGCAUCCAGGGCUCACCUACCACAUUUG
ensembl:miRNA